UCCGAGUUGUCCCCGGCAGUCUCCUACGAGUCCCCACCAUUACGUGCUGGCAACAUAGGACGAGGGUUGCGCUCGUUGCGGGACUUAACCCAACAUCUCACGACACGAGCUGACGACAGCCAUGCACCACCUGUACACCACCAAAAGAAACCCUAUCUCUAGAGCGGCAUGGUGUAUGUCAAACCCAGGUAAGGUUCUUCGCGUUGCAUCGAAUUAAUCCGCAUGCUCCACCGCUUGUGCGGGUCCCCGUCAAUUCAUUUGAGUUUCAACCUUGCGGCCGUACUCCCCAGGCGGGACACUUACUGCGUUAGCUGCGGCACCGGCGGUAACCCGCCGACACUUAGUGUCCAUCGUUUAGGGCGUGGACUAC
rnacentral:misc_RNA from 1 species